rnacentral:rRNA from 1 species
CUCGUAGGCGGUUCGUCGCGUCCGGUGUGAAAGUCCAUCGCCUAACGGUGGAUCUGCGCCGGGUACGGGCGGGCUGGAGUGCGGUAGGGGAGACUGGAAUUCCCGGUGUAACGGUGGAAUGUGUAGAUAUCGGGAAGAACACCAACGGCGAAGGCAGGUCUCUGGGCCGUUACUGACGCUGAGGAGCGAAAGCGUGGGGAGCGAACA